GAGUAAUGACGAUAAAUGAAUCUUUUCGGGUAAUCAUCGGAACAAAUAGUUUCUAGCCGUCGUUUGGUUCGAAACGUUCUGAUGAAGUGACCGAACGACUAAUCUUCUCUCUGAGCUCU
rnacentral:snoRNA from 1 species